UACAGAGGUCUCAAGCGUUGUUCGGAUUCAUUGGGCGUAAAGGGUGCGUAGGUGGCGUGGUAAGUCGGGUGUGAAAUUUCGGAGCUUAACUCCGAAACUGCAUUCGAUACUGCCGUGCUUGAGGACUGGAGAGGAGACUGGAAUUUACGGUGUAGCAGUGAAAUGCGUAGAGAUCGUAAGGAAGACCAGUGGCGAAGGCGGGUCUCUGGACAGGUCCUGACACUGAGGCACGAAGGCCAGGGGAGCAAACGGG
rnacentral:rRNA from 1 species